UCAAAAUAAUAUUACUGUUCGAAAUGUUGCUUCUCCUGAGCAUGUAACUGAAAUACCUGGACAACUCAUUCUUCUAAGGAAUAUGUAUAUAUUUUGUUACAACAAGCAAUCUCAUUCAGACUAUUUGCUUAAGGAUAAGGAUUGCCCAACUUACACAUUUAACAAACUUUACUAUAUAUAGAGAUAAUAUUCUUUUUGAAGUGCGCCUAUCCAUACAAUAUUCUUAGCAAUCUGAUUUUUUUUUUUAAAAAUCUACCAUCUUUAAUGAUAUUGGUUUUAAUGUAAAUUUCUCAAUGAGUCAGCAGUGGUAUUGUAUGAAGCUUUUCACCUCCUAUCUUCACAGGCCUGUUCUCCGCACCAAAAGCUCCACGAGCAGUUGUAUUGUAUGAAGCUUUUCACCUCCCAUCUUCACAGGCCUGUUCUCCACACCAAAAGCUCCACAAGGUAUGUAUCCAUCUCUCUCUCUCUCUCAUAGCUAUAUAUGUGCCACGCUCGUGGGUUCUGCCCAAUCCAGAUGGAGAGGGCCAUUUACAUGAGUAACAGAAUUAAUCGAGAUGCAUGCAAGUUAGUCUGACACCUGGUCAUAAAAAAAAAA